CAUAAUAUAUAUUGACUUUAUAUCAUAGUAUUUAAGUAUUGAUAAUUUUACAUCAAGUAUUUAAGUUACAAUAUAUCAAGAGGAGAAGUAAACAUCAUUCAAGGAUUUACCUCUCUUAUGAGGAAAGGGUUAUUACUUUUUUUUUUGUUGUAUGCAGGAUAAUUGUAACAUGUUAGGUGAAAUAAUGCCCUUGUUAUUGUCUUGUCUUUAUUUGGAAAUUAAGUGUGAUACACACUUUACAGAUAUACUAUUUGUCUUUAAAUCACAGUCAAGUAGACACAGGGUAGACUUGUGAUGACUAAUUUUAUGUGUCAAUUUCAUUGGGCCAUGGGUUGCCCAGAUAUGUGGUUAAAUGUUAUUCUGGGUGUAUGAUAUUUUUUGGCUGUGUUCUCACCCAAAUCUCAUCUUGAAUUCCCACAUGUUGUGGGAGGGACUCGGUGGGAGGUAACUGAAUCAUGGGUUCAAGUCUUUCUCAUGCUGUUCUCCUGAUAGUGAAUAAGUCUCAUAAUAUCUGAUGGUCUUAAAAAGAGGAGUUCCUCUGAACAAGCUCUCUCUUUGCCUGCUGCCAUGCAUGUAAGAUGUGACUUGCUCCUCCUUGCCUUCUGCCAUGAUUGUGAGGCUUCCCCAGCUACAUGGAACUGCAUGAGCCUGUCCUCUGUGACGCUGGCCAGUGCCCUACAGGUCAGGGGUGAAGCUCUGUCUGAGGAGGAAAUCUGGUCCCUCCUGUUCCUGGCCGCUGAGCAGCUCCUGGAAGACCUCCGCAACGAUUCCUCGGACUAUGUGGUCUGCCCCUGGUCAGCCCUGCUUUCUGCAGCUGGAAGCCUUUCUUUCCAAGGCCGUGUUUCUCACAUAGAGGCUGCUCCUUUCAAGGCCCCUGAACUGCUACAGGGAAAGAGUGAGGAUGAGCAGCCUGAUGCGUCUCAGAUGCAUGUCUAUUCUUUAGGAAUGACCCUCUACUGGUCAGCAGGGUUUCAUGUUCCGCCACAUCAGCCCCUGCAGCUCUGCGAGCCCCUGCACUCCAUCCUGCUGACCAUGUGUGAAGACCAGCCUCACAGGCGGUGCACAUUGCAGUCGGUUCUGGAAGCUUGUCGGGUUCAUGAGAAAGAAGUGUCUGUCUACCCAGCCCCUGCUGGUCUCCACAUCAGAAGGCUGGUUGGCUUGGUUCUGGGUACCAUUUCUGAGGUGGAGAAAAGAGUUGUGGAGGAAAGCUCCUCUGUGCAGCAGAACAGAAGCUACCUGCUCAGGAAGAGGCUGCAUGGGACAAGCAGCGAGAGCCCAGCGGCACAGGCCCCAGAGUGUCUGCAUCCUUGCAGAGUUUCAGAAAGAAGCAUGGAGACCCAGAGCUCACCAGAGCCCCAUUGGAGCACCUCGACACACAGUCACUGCAGCCUCCUUGUUAACCGCGCUCUUCCAGGAGCAGAUCCCCAGGACCAGCAGGAGGGCCGGAGGCUCAGCUCUGGAUCUGUGCACUCGGCAGCAGACAGCUCGUGGCCAACAACUCCUUCUCAAAGGGGUUUUCUGCAAAGAAGGAGCAAGUUUUCCAGGCCAGAGUUCAUCCUGUUGGCUGGAGAGGCCCCGAUGACACUACAUCUGCCAGGAUCGGUUGUGACCAAAAAAGGGAAAUCCUAUUUGGCUCUCAGGGACCUCUGUGUGGUCCUGCUGAACGGGCAGCACCUGGAGGUAAAAUGUGAUGUCGAAUCAACAGUGGGAGCUGUCUUCAAUGCCGUGACAUCCUUUGCCAACCUCAAGGAACUCACCUACUUUGGCUUGGCGUAUAUGAAAAGCAAAGAGUUCUUUUUCCUGGACAGUGAAACCAGAUUGUGCAAAAUAGCUCCUGAAGGCUGGAGAGAGCAGCCUCAGAAGACCUCCAUGAAUACCUUCACACUCUUCCUGAGGAUAAAGUUCUUUGUCAGCCACUACGGGCUGCUCCAGCACAGCCUGACAAGGCACCAGUUUUACCUGCAGCUUCGGAAAGAUAUCCUGGAGGAGAGGCUGUACUGCAAUGAAGAGAUACUGCUGCAGCUGGGGGUCCUUGCCUUGCAGGCUGAGUUUGGCAAUUACCCUAAGGAGCAGGUGGAGAGUAAGCCAUACUUUCACGUUGAAGAUUACAUCCCAGCGAGUCUGAUCGAGAGGAUGACCGCUCUACGGGUCCAGGUCGAAGUCUCAGAGAUGCACCGGCUCAGCUCUGCACUGUGGGGAGAGGAGGCUGAGCUGGAGUUCUUGAGGGUCACUCAGCAGCUCCCAGAAUACGGUGUGCUGGUUCACCAAGUAUUCUCAGAGAAGAGGAGGCCAGAAGAGGAGAUGGCCCUGGGGAUCUCUGCCAAGGGUGUCAUAGUAUAUGAAGUGAAAAACAACAGCAGAAUUGCAAUGUUACGGUUUCAGUGGAGAGAAACCGGGAAGAUUUCUACUUAUCAAAAAAAGUUCACCAUCACAAGCAGUGUCACUGGGAAGAAGCACACAUUUGUCACAGAUUCAGCCAAGACCAGUAAAUACUUACUGGACCUCUGCUCAGCCCAGCAUGGGUUUAAUGCACAGAUGGGCUCUGGGCAGCCUUCCCAUGUUUUAUUUGACCAUGAUAAGUUUGUGCAAAUGGCCAAUUUGAGUCCUGCACACCAGGCCCGGUCUAAGCCUCUCAUUUGGAUUCAGAGAUUGUCAUGCUCAGAAAAUGAGUUGUUUGCAUCCAGGCUUCAGGAUGCUGCAGGAGGCCUGUUGAGUACAUCACUGGAUAACUUCAACGUGAACGGCAGCAAGGAGGCUAGAGCAGAAGGCAUCGGGCGCAGCCCCUGCACUGGCCGGGAGCAGCUGAAGAGUGCCUGUGUGAUCCAGAAGCCAAUGACCUGGGACUCUCUCUCUGGGCCACCUGUUCAGAGCAUGCGUGCAGGCUCAAAGAAUAAUAGGAGGAAGAGCUUUACAGCUGAACCUGGCCGAGAAAUCGUACGUGUGACACUGAAACGCGACCCACACCGUGGUUUUGGUUUUGUCAUUAAUGAGGGAGAGUAUUCAGGCCAAGCUGACCCUGGCAUUUUUAUAUCUUCUAUUAUACCUGGAGGACCAGCAGAAAAAGCAAAAACGAUCAAACCAGGAGGGCAGAUACUAGCCCUGAAUCACAUCAGUCUGGAGGGCUUCACAUUCAACAUGGCUGUUAGGAUGAUCCAGAAUUCCCCUGACAACAUAGAAUUAAUUAUUUCUCAGUCAAAAGGUGUUGGUGGAAAUAACCCAGAUGAAGAAAAGAAUAGCACAGCCAAUUCUGGGGUCUCCUCUACAGAUAUCCUGAGAUUCGGGUACCAGGGAAGUUUGUUGUCACACACACAAGACCAGGACAGAAAUACUGAAGAACUAGACAUGGCUGGGGUGCAGAGCUUAGUGCCCAGGCUGAGACAUCAGCUUUCCUUUCUGCCGUUAAAGGGUGCUGGUUCUUCUUGUCCUCCAUCACCUCCAGAAAUCAGUGCUGGUGAAAUCUACUUUGUGGAACUGGUUAAAGAAGAUGGGACACUUGGAUUCAGCGUAACUGGUGGCAUUAACACCAGUGUGCCCUAUGGUGGUAUCUAUGUGAAAUCCAUUGUUCCUGGAGGACCAGCUGCCAAGGAAGGGCAGAUCCUACAGGGUGACCGACUCCUGCAGGUGGAUGGAGUGAGUCUGUGCGGCCUCACCCACAAGCAGGCUGUGCAGUGCCUGAAGGGUCCUGGGCAGGUUGCAAGACUGGUCUUAGAGAGAAGAGUCCCCAGGAGUACACAGCAGUGUCCUUCUGCUAAUGACAGCAUGGGAGAUGAACGCACGGCUGUUUCCUUGGUAACAGCCUUGCCUGGCAGGCCUUCGAGCUGUGUCUCGGUGACAGAUGGUCCUAAGUUUGAAGUCAAACUAAAAAAGAAUGCCAAUGGUUUGGGAUUCAGUUUCGUGCAGAUGGAGAAAGAGAGCUGCAGCCAUCUCAAAAGUGAUCUUGUGAGGAUUAAGAGGCUCUUUCCGGGGCAGCCAGCUGAGGAGAAUGGGGCCAUUGCAGCUGGUGACAUUAUCCUGGCCGUGAAUGGAAGGUCCACAGAAGGCCUCAUCUUCCAGGAGGUGCUGCAUUUACUGAGAGGGGCCCCACAGGAAGUCACGCUCCUCCUUUGCCGACCCCCUCCAGGUGCGCUGCCUGAGAUGGAGCAGGAAUGGCAGACACCUGAACUCUCAGCUGACAAAGAAUUCACCAGGGCAACAUGUACUGACUCAUGUACCAGCCCCAUCCUGGAUCAAGAGGACAGCUGGAGGGACAGUGCCUCCCCAGAUGCAGGGGAAGGCCUGGGUCUCAGGCCAGAGUCUUCCCAAAAGGCCAUCAGAGAGGCACAAUGGGGCCAAAACAGAGAGAGACCUUGGGCCAGUUCCUUGACACAUUCUCCUGAGUCCCACCCUCAUUUAUGCAAACUUCGCCAAGAAAGGGAUGAAUCAACAUUGGCGACCUCUUUGGAAAAGGAUGUGAGGCAAAACUGCUAUUCAGUUUGUGAUAUCAUGAGACUUGGAAGAGAUACUGUAAAUCCAACCUGCCAAAACUAAAUGCAGUUGUCAGGAGCAGAGACCUGGGGCUCCCAGCUGUGUCAUCAGGGCUAAUGGAGACAUCAAUAUGGGGCCUGAUGUUGGAGAACUGGAGACAUGAAGGGACACAAACCCCAAACUUUGUUGUGAGUUUAACCAUAUUCCUUCUCAUCUCCUCUAACCAGACUUUCGACAGAUAUUUUCUGAGCAUCUUCUCUGCAUGUCUGCAGUGCUGUGUAAAAUGCCCUACCUUUGCAUGAAUUAUUCUUUCUAAUCAAGAGGCGUGUGUGGCGAACUUGGGGCGGCCCCUGGAAGCCUUGUUCUUUGACCAUUACGUCUGCGGCUGCAUCACCAGAUAAUGAGCUUCACCACUCGUCGGCCUCCUGUGUCCUUCCGCGGGGAGUAAAUGUCACUUCAGCUGGCCGCCUCUCUAAAUAGGCAAAUUUUCAGUGCUCAGAAAAGGACCUGAUCUUUGCACAAAGCGCUUUGAUGGUUGCCUGCUUGAGUCACUCCCAACCCCUUCCUGAAGCCCUUUCUUUAUAAUUCUUCUGUUGAAAUAGCUAUCAUAUUCACAGUAGUAAUCACAGCAUCUCACAUUUACUAAAAACUUACCCCAUACCAGGAACCCGGAGUUGGGGGGGCUGUGUCAGAAUUAUGUGAUUUACGUGUCCCAAUAAUCCUAGACGCUUCUUGACCAUCUAGUUUUGUCAAAUGAGGAAACUGAGGUUCCAAUGAAGUCAAUAAACUUGUCCAAAGUCUGACCGAC